ACCUGCUCCUCUGGAUCUGCUCCUCUGGAUCUGCGAAAAAGGGAGAGAUAUUUACAACACAUGGACACUUACCGAGGCUGAAUCAAAGGCCAGCAGAGAAGGCCUUGCUGGCCCUGACGGCCCACCACUGCCCGGAUGGAUACCAACUACCGGGAGUCCAUCAGCCCAGUUGAACGCCUGGCGAUUUGUCUCCGGCCACAUGUGUUCUCCACAACUACCUGCGGAGGUCAUUCCAGGAGCCGCUCCGGAUGGAGAUGGGCACGCCAAAUGGUCACCUUCCUGAUGUCACCAGGGCAGGUGCCAACAACGCCCCCAGACAGGCACUCCAGGUGAGGGAGAAGCUGACCACCUACUUCUCAUCGCCAGCAGGUGAAGUCCCAUGGCAGUAUGCCGUGGAGUGAAACGGCUCUUUUAAGAGCCCCAUAACACAAAGGUUAUUUUAAGAACCAUCCACCGUUGUCCAUACAAUUGCAUUUUUUCCCCAGAUUA